rnacentral:rRNA from 1 species
GAUGAACGCUGGCGGCAUGCCUAAUACAUGCAAGUCGAACGAGAGGAAGGAAAGCUUGCUUUCCUGAAUCUAGUGGCGAACGGGUGAGUAACACGUAGGUAACCUGCCCAUGUGCCCGGGAUAACUUCUGGAAACGGAUGCUAAAACCAGAUAGGUAGCAGACAAGCAUUUGACAGCUAUUAAAGUGGCCUUGGCCAUGAACAUGGAUGGACCUGCGGUGCAUUAGCUAGUUGGUGAGGUAACGGCCCACCAAGGCGACGAUGCAUAGCCGGCCUGAGAGGGCGGACGGCCACAUUGGGACUGAGACACGGCCCAAACUCCUACGGGAGGCAGCAGUAGGGAAUUUUCGUCAAUGGGGGGAACCCUGAACGAGCAAUGCCGCGUGAGUGAGGAAGGUCUUCGGAUCGUAAAGCUCUGUUGUAAGAGAAAAACGGCACUCAUAGGGAAUGAUGAGUGAGUGAUGGUAUCUUACCAGAAAGUCACGGCUAACUACGUGCCAGCAGCCGCGGUAAUAC